AGUGAACGCUGGCGGUAGGCCUAACACAUGCAAGUCGAACGGCAGCACAGAGGAGCUUGCUCCUUGGGUGGCGAGUGGCGGACGGGUGAGGAAUACAUCGGAAUCUACUCUGUCGUGAGGGAUAACGUAGGGAAACUUACGCUAAUACCGCAUACGACCUACGGGUGAAAGCAGGGGAUCUUCGGACCUUGCGCGAUUGACUGAGCCGAUGGCGGAUUAGCUAGUUGGCGGGGUAAAGGCCCACCAAGGCGACGAUCCGUAGCUGGUCUGAGAGGACGACCAGCCACACUGGAACUGAGACACGGUCCAGACUCCUACGGGAGGCAGCAGUGGGGAAUUUUGGACAAUGGGCGAAAGCCUGAUCCAGCCAUUCCGCGUGCGGGAUGAAGGCCCUCGGGUUGUAAACUGCUUUUGUACAGAACGAAAAGGUUUCUACUAAUACUAGGAGCUCAUGACGGUACUGUAAGAAUAAGCACCGGCUAACUACGUGUCAGCCGCCGCAGUAA
rnacentral:rRNA from 1 species